rnacentral:rRNA from 1 species
GAUGAACGCUGGCGGCGUGCCUAAUACAUGCCAGUCGAGCGAACAGAUGAGGAGCUUGCUCCUCUGACGUUAGCGGCGGACGGGUGAGUAACACGUGGAUAACCUACCUAUAAGACUGGGAUAACUUCGGGAAACCGGAGCUAAUACCGGAUAAUAUAUUGAACCGCAUGGUUCAAUAGUGAAAGACGGUUUUGCUGUCACUUAUAGAUGGAUCCGCGCCGCAUUAGCUAGUUGGUAAGGUAACGGCUUACCAAGGCAACGAUGCGUAGCCGACCUGAGAGGGUGAUCGGCCACACUGGAACUGAGACACGGUCCAGACUCCUACGGGAGGCAGCAGUAGGGAAUCUUCCGCAAUGGGCGAAAGCCUGACGGAGCAACGCCGCGUGAGUGAUGGAGGUCUUCGGAUCGUAAAACUCUGUUAUUAGGGAAGAACAAAUGUGUAAGUAACUAUGCACGUCUUGACGGUACCUAAUCAGAAAGCCACGGCUAACUACGUG